AAUGAAUUGCCUGAUUAAAGGAUUACUUUGAUAGAGUAAAUUAUGUAAAAUAUUGCAUUCAUUA
rnacentral:tRNA from 1 species